rnacentral:lncRNA from 1 species
GGUGGGGCCUGGGAGAUCCCGAGGCUCAGAGAAGCUUGAUUCCUAGUUCAAGGGCACACAGUACAUGGCAGAGCCAAGACCUGAACCCAGGUGUCCUGAUUCCCAGUCAGUACACAGAGGAGGGAGAAUGGCCAGCUAAGAUUGCCCUGCCCAGGCAAGGAAAAGGAGCAGAGAGGCCGGCUGGAAGGGGGCAGGAGCAGGGCUGAGGAGGGAGGCACUCAAGGAGAAGGAUCCCAUGUCUAAGAUGGUCAGUGGGGGUGAAGGGGUACCCUCAGAGUUGGCUGCCGUGCCCUUAGAGAGGAGGAGAGAACAAAGGGGUCACAAGGUUGAAAAGUCCUCUCUGGGAGGGAGACAGCCCAGCUGAGCAUGCCAGUCAGCGUCACAGGAUGGCUGCUGAGAGACCACUGACUUCAGUCAUGUCAUUUUACGGAGAAGGUCACUGUGGCCCAAAUGAGAAUACACCAGCCUGUGGGCCAUAGCCGGGCCCAACCCAGGUCUCCUGCUUCCCAGUCAUUGGCUCUUUUCAUGCAACCUUUAAUCUCCCCCAGUGGAUUCUGGUGCCUUCUCCCACCUCUUGGGAACCUGGAGCCUGAGGAGGAAAAAAAGGGGAGCAGCUAGGGCUCCCACAGACCCAGACACCAAGAGCCAAGUGCCUUUCUCUGUCUUCUUCCCCAAGAAGGGACAGUUGGCCUCAACCCUAAUGUCCCUCCUCCAGGGUGAAGCCAGUUGGUGCCUGCCCACACCUGGGACCUCCCUUACUGGCAACAGAGUCCGGAGCCAGCAUCAGCCAUAGCAGAGACAAAGCCAGCCAGGCAGCUGCUGGAGCCACAGGGAGUUCCAGAAAGGGAAGGCCCUCGGAAGGCUUUGAGCACCUGCCACCUCCACCCCUCCUGAACUGAGGCCCCGACACCCCACUGAUGGGCACAGAGCCCACCUACAACUUCUCCACAGCUGCUCACCGGUGUGAUGUGGGUGGCUUGCAGGCUGAGGUUAUCCUCAUUCCGGCCCUGUUGUCCUCGUCCACUCUGCUGAUCGUCAGCUGCAUGCUAUGGAGGACAUGCUGCCGGCGGUCUCGGGUCACCCACCCCAGCCCGCCAUCCCCAUCAGGAGCCCAGGUAAGCCACUCAAGGACUGAAAGACUGGAAGUUUCCAUUUCUGUUUUAUCCUCGGUCUCUUUGUGCACAACACUGGGGGAAAGACCUAUCACGUCUGUGUUGCCCAAAGGUGUGACGUGUAACCCUUAA